UACGAGGGGUGCAAGCGUUGCUCGGAAUUAUUGGGCGUAAAAGGGUAGGUAGGUGGUCUUAUUUGUCUGGGGUGAAAUCCUUGAGCUUAACUCAAGAAGUGCCCCAGAAACGGUGAGACUGGAGUCCUGGAGAGGGUCGUGGAAUUCCCGGUGUAGCGGUGAAAUGCGUAGAGAUCGGGAGGAACACCAGAGGCGAAGGCGGCGACCUGGACAGGCACUGACACUCAUGAGCGAAAGCGUGGGGAGCGAUCGG
rnacentral:rRNA from 1 species